GCGAGCAAUACUGUGAAUGUUGAACAAACCUGCAGGUAGUUCCAUGCAGUUGGCGUAAAGGAGUCCCUCCUCCGGAGUCAUCAAUUAAGUCUUAGAUGAGCUUCAUCCGAAGGUCACAUGAUUUGGACAUUCCAGGCCAAAGACCCGAGAAAGCGCCAUGUUGGAGCGGCUGAUAGUACCGGAUCCUGGAGGUAUGGCUUCCAUGGCGAAUAGGCACCGGUCAAUUAACCGGGUUGGGC